GAUGAACGCUGGCGGCGUGCCUAAUACAUGCCAGUCGAGCGAACAGACGAGGAGCUUGCUCCUCUGACGUUAGCGGCGGACGGGUGAGUAACACGUGGAUAACCUACCUAUAAGACUGGGAUAACUUCGGGAAACCGGAGCUAAUACCGGAUAAUAUAUUGAACCGCAUGGUUCAAUAGUGAAAGACGGUUUUGCUGUCACUUAUAGAUGGAUCCGCGCCGCAUUAGCUAGUUGGUAAGGUAACGGCUUACCAAGGCAACGAUGCGUAGCCGACCUGAGAGGGUGAUCGGCCACACUGGAACUGAGACACGGUCCAGACUCCUACGGGAGGCAGCAGUAGGGAAUCUUCCGCAAUGGGCGAAAGCCAGACGGAGCAACGCCGCGUGAGUGAUGAAGGUCUUCGGAUCGUAAAACUCUGUUAUUAGGGAAGAACAAAUGUGUAAGUAACUAUGCACGUCUUGACGGUACCUAAUCAGAAAGCCACGGCUAACUACGUG
rnacentral:rRNA from 1 species